CGCGGAGGGGUCUGCCGGGCAUCCCCGGUUCCCGUGUAGCUGUCCCCCCGGGGCAUCCUGUGCUUUGCGCCCCAAGACCUGCGGAUCAGCCCCAUCUGCCACCCAGGGGCACCGGACCCAAGUCCAGGCCCCUGGUCAAGAGGCCUCCCGCAGCCGCCUCUCCGUCCUCUGAGCCCCCAGUGUCCGUGCCUCCCCCUGGCACAUCGGUCGAGGCCUGUUUGCUGCCCGGAUGCUGUGUGCCCGGCAUUUAGUAGUGAGCAGGGCGGACACUGUCCCUCCCUUCAUGGAGGUGUGGAGAGGCUGAGAAGAGAGGAAUGUUGACACCUGCAGACUCAGGGCACUGCCCCCCCAAGAACUCAGAGCCUCCUGAAAGAGGGUCUCUUUCAGGCUCCAUUGCCCAUCGGUGCCUGCCUCCUGCCCGCCCUGGGAGAAUAGACACAGCAAAGAUUGCCUGACCUCACACAAGUGAUUUGGCUUCCUGGGCCUCCGUUUCUCUGUCUGCAGAGUGGAGAGAAUGAGAGCCCCUCCCUCACAGGGUGUUACCUUGACCAGAUGAGCGUCCCCCAAGAGCCCAAGGGAGCCACCAGCAAACCGACUUCAAGGAAAAGACUUGCGAGAGGACUGAUCUCUUUGGUGUGCAUGGGGCUAAACAGAGGUUGGCAGACAUCUCUGUAAAGCUAGCCAUCGAGGACCAGAUAGUAGAUGUUGAGAGCCAUGCUGUCUCUGUUACAAUUACUCAUCUCUGUCCCAUAGCACCAAAGUAACCACAAACAGCAUGUAAACAAACAGGCGUGACUGGGUUUCAAUAAAACUUUAUUUACAACAUGCAGUGGGCAGAUGUGCGAGAUGUGCUGGCCUCCGCCCGGCCUCAGCAAAAACAAUAUGGAAAUCCUGGCUGUUAAAAGCAGAUCCUGAAGAGACAAGGGGAGAGGGUAGUUAUUGGAACCCAGGAACAAGGGACACAGGAAGAUG